UACGUAGGGUGCGAGCGUUAAUCGGAAUUACUGGGCGUAAAGAGCUCGUAGGUGGUUUGUCGCGUUGUUCGUGAAAACUCACAGCUUAACUGUGGGCGUGCGGGCGAUACGGGCAGACUUGAGUACUGCAGGGGAGACUGGAAUUCCUGGUGUAGCGGUGGAAUGCGCAGAUAUCAGGAGGAACACCGGUGGCGAAGGCGGAUCUCUGGGCCUUACCUGACGCUGAGGCGCGAAAGCUAGGGGAGCAAACAGG
rnacentral:rRNA from 1 species